rnacentral:rRNA from 1 species
UACAGAGGGUGCGAGCGUUCAUCGGAAUUACUGGGCGUAAAGCGCACGUAGGUGGCGACGUAAGUCGGGUGUGAAAGCCCCGGGCUCAACCUGGGAAUUGCAUUCGAGACUGCAUUGCUGGAGUACGGAAGAGGAAGGCGGAAUUCCCGGUGUAGCGGUGAAAUGCGUAGAUAUCGGGAGGAACAUCAGUGGCGAAGGCGGCCUUCUGGUCCAGUACUGACACUCAAGUGCGAAAGCGUGGGGAGCAAACAGG